rnacentral:rRNA from 1 species
AGGGUUCGAUUCUGGCUCAGGAUGAACGCUAGCGACAGGCUUAACACAUGCAAGUCGAGGGGCAUCACGGGAGUAGCAAUACAACUGGUGGCGACCGGCGCACGGGUGAGUAACGCGUAUGCAACCUACCUAUCAGAGGGGAAUAACCCGGCGAAAGUCGGACUAAUACCGCAUAAAACAGGGGCACCGCAUGGUGAUAUUUGUUAAAGAAAUUCGCUGAUAGAUGGGCAUGCGUUCCAUUAGGUAGUUGGUGAGGUAACGGCUCACCAAGCCGACGAUGGAUAGGGGAACUGAGAGGUUGGUCCCCCACACUGGUACUGAGACACGGACCAGACUCCUACGGGAGGCAGCAGUGAGGAAUAUUGGUCAAUGGGCGGGAGCCUGAACCAGCCAAGUCGCGUGAAGGAAGAAGGAUCUAUGGUUCGUAAACUUCUUUUGCAGGGGAAUAAAGUGCAGGACGUGUCCUGUUUUGUAUGUACCCUGAGAAUAAGGAUCGGCUAACUCCGUGCCAGCCGCGGC